GGCCCGGAGUCCUCAUGGCAGGUCCAGCACCUACUGCUCUCACUCUGCAGACUGCCAGGCCCUCUGCCAGCCACGCCCCCGCACAGACACUCCAAGACAAGGGAAGGAAUGGGCUGUGGGGAAGUCUGUGACCUAACAUGAAAGGACCCCCACCAUGGCUGCCAGCCACGGGGUGUAGGGGGUGCUGAGAUGGCCUGCAAUGACCCUUCUGCAGCAGCCCCUUCAAAGGAGCCCUUCUUUUCCAGUUGACAGCGACACUUUUCAUUUUUUUAUUCAGGCUGGUUAUCAGGCAGCUCUGAUCGUCAUGAGGACUGGGGUCCUACGAGAAUCUGGGAGUGAACUCACUUCCUAGUGGCAUUGAGGGAAGACACCCAGCCAUCCUGAGCUCCCUACUGGGCCAUGCCUGACGCAGGUGCUGGCCCACAGUCUGCCACACCAGGUCUUCUUUUCAGAGCGCACUCAAAUCCAACUUCCUCCUCUCCAUGACCCCCCGCCAGAUUGUGGCUUCUGCUCUGCCGGGGAGUCAUAAAGCUCUGUGGGGAGCUCCUCCCCCUCCUGUGAGUCUGAAAGUUUUCCACGCCCAGACAAGCUCUUGAUAGGGUUCAUUUCCGUUCCCGGUCAAAACGUGGGGGCCGUUAUACUCAACUACUCAGGAUGAGGUGCUGGAAGAAAACUUCUCCAGAUUGUAAAAUUUAAUGUUUAGAUGUCAAGUAAGGCAUUUCUUUUCCUAAGGAUCAUGCCACAGAUUCAAAGGCAAGAGAGUAAACUUCUCAUUUCUAUGGAAAUCAGUUUUCCAAAGGAAAGAAAAUGAAUGACGAGUGGAAGGACCUUAAGACCAGGGAAGCUCAGGGCGCUAUUUUGCCCCCUGCACUUGAUCCUUCUGCAGAAUGACACAUGGCAUCCACUUCCUCAGGAAGAGACAAACCCGCAGAGAACACUGAAGUCUCACUUUCCUGGGUCUGACUUUUACAAUGCAAGAACAUUUGAUCAAAGUAGGCCCGCCCAAGAGCUGGAGUAGACACUUACUCCUGGCUCCCAGCACUGCCCCGCAGAAAUCACAGGUGGCUUCAGGCGCGUCCAGACACCUGGAGCUCCUUACGAGUAGUAUGGCAGGGGUCACUUAUUUACAUUGUGGAAAAACCGUAGGAACAUCUGUUCAAGGACUUUGGCUUUCAGAGAAGAAUGAAAUGGAGGAAGCACGAACGAAUACACUUUGUGUCUAAAAACCACUCCACUCAUUUUAACUUGAGAUCACUGAUUAUAAAGAAAAUAGCUGUAUUUACUCAGAGACUUCAACAAGAAAUAGAAUUAUGUAAAAUAAUUGAGCCUUAAUGAAAAAAUAUUUGUAUUAAACGGUGCACUCUCUCCACGUCCAACACACUCUUUAUAAAUCACUCCUCAGAAGCACAGACUGGGUGUCCUAUCUUUCUCCCAUUUCCUUAGUAAGACAGCAUAUGAACUCCCUGAGAAUGAAUACCAAGAGACAGCUGUACAGCCUCAGUUUAACUGUAAGUCCAGUAAUUACAGUAAGACCUUGGAUUUUUAUAACUUCUAGUCUCCUGGGGAUCCAAAGCCCAUUCAGGUAUAUUACCUCGUUGACUCGUUAAGGAGUGCCCACGUCGGUAACACCACCCACUGUAGUUGGAAAAGCGGCUUCCAUAUAAGCUUAAGAAACCUGCAGAGCCUCAGAAAUAAGGCUGGGCUCCACUUAACUCACUUUUUCUUCUAGAACAAUCUAGAAUCAGAAGAUUUUGGGGGGGAGGGGUCUGUGGAUGCGACCUACUGACCUUACACAAGGGGUCACCUGCAUUUUUAUGUCUUAAAGUUGGGGAAGGAGGUGGCCUGUGACUGCAGGUAGUGGCUUCACACCGGAGGUCACUGGCAGGCUUCUUAGAACUGUUCAAUUCCAUUCUACUCCUUGGAGCACCCACCCCUGGGAAAUCUGAGUUUGUUUUUCUCAACAACUUUCAGCAGAUUUGAAUAUUAAUUCUAAAUUCUGAGCUAUUUAUACGCUCACGAUGGUCAUCAGCCACGUAAUUCCUGUGCAGGAGGCCACUCUCCGGCUGCCAAAAGCUCUGUGAACUGCUGGCAGAAAUGCAGAAAUGCUCCCCGAGAAGGCGCCCCGGGUGGACAGCAGCAGAGCCACCGUCCAGGCGGGCAGCCGCACAGCCUGGGCACUUCCCCAGGCCACUGAGACUGAGGGAUCAGCACAAAGCGUUAAGGGAGCUCAUAAAAAAAGACCGACCCACAAUGGAGGGAUCAGGAAAGGCCCAAAGGAAGCAGCGUCCCAGUUGCCACGUGAUGGAGGAAAGAACCUGCUAGGAAAAGGCCGGAAGGAGCUGUAGAGACGGGGAAAGCCUGUCUUCACACCGCAGCAACACGCCUGCCUCCGGGCCCAGCCGCGCCUCCCUCGGCACAUGCAAGCCGGCACCACCCACAGCCAGUGUUUGAUUUGACGCUCCCAGCUCUUCCCUAGGAGGCCUCACCUCCCUCCCUUCAUGGAACAGAUUUUUCCUUUGCAGUAAAAAACAAUCCCCUCCUUGCCUCAGGAACACAAUGUUUGCACAACCAGCGUAAUUUCUUUUCAUUAGUGAUUUUUGGCUCUGGGGUUAUAUUUCUUAUAUGCACAAUGUUUUGAAUGUGACAUUUUAAACCUAACUUAGCCCUUUUCUUCCAAAGCUACAUUAAUAUAGUAGGAGGCUUAACAGACAAUCCAGGCAGAAAUGUCUGCAAGUUCACUGCGAGUGCCACAAAAAUGUGAACUGUUUUCCUCUGCAUAUGCGGAUUUAAUGUUAUUGCAGGGUUUCGGAUUUUUAUGAGCACUUAAAAUGUUGGAUCUGAUUGGGAUCUGGGCUCACAUUAACUCAUUUCAAAUUAUUGAAUAUCCAUCUUCUAGCUAAAAUAAAAUGGUUACCAAUUCAGAACUAUGAAGAGCA
rnacentral:lncRNA from 13 species